ACACUGCACGUGCACCUAGGAGCAGAGGCUCUGAAACCGGGAAAACUGCUCCAGAGGCAAGGGAAAUUAACAGAUAUUUACAAACAUUGAAGGAUUCUCUGUGUUGGCUGUAACUUCUGCGCCCCUCUUCCUACCUAAAGAUACUCUUUCUAUCCCACUAAUAUUUUUUGUGAAUAUAGAUAUCCAUUGUAAUCUGAAGUAUCAAAAAUUACCUAGAAAAAAGCUUUGAGGAACUCAGACUCUCUCUCUCACACACACACAGACAAAACAAAAGGUGAUAGAUGAUAGGUGAUCUCCGUCCAAAGGAUCUACAAACCCAUCAAGCAGAUAAAUACUUCAAGAGUUAAAAAAAAUUACUAAAUGGAAAAGUCAGCUCUCAAAGGGACAGUUCCCCGAGCCCAACCCCUUUCUAGCUUCACAUCCUUCCAGGAAGAUUUCAUGGGUGGUUUAGCUCUAGAGAUGCACGGAGAAGCUUCUGGAGUUGAAGAGAAGUGGUUGUGCCCCUGAGUAAAUUACAAUUCCAGGUGCCUACAUAGUGUUAAAAAAAAAAAAAUCUGAAAAGAGCUUGCCUGGACCAAAUUUGAAGCCAUUCAGAGCUGAAUUCUAACCUAUGACCUUGAUCAAAUUACCUCUUUUAGCCUUAGUUUUCU
rnacentral:lncRNA from 1 species